CUCGUAGGCGGUUUGUCGCGUCGUCUGCGAAAUUCUGCAACUCAAUUGCAGGCGUGCAGGCGAUACGGGCAGACUUGAGUACUACAGGGGAGACUGGAAUUCCUGGUGUAGCGGUGAAAUGCGCAGAUAUCAGGAGGAACACCGGUGGCGAAGGCGGGUCUCUGGGUAGUAACUGACGCUGAGGAGCGAAAGCGUGGGAGCGAACA
rnacentral:rRNA from 1 species